rnacentral:rRNA from 1 species
ACUCAAAUGAAUAGACGGGGACCCGCACAAGCAGCGGAGCAUGUCGUUUAAUUCGAAGAUACACGAAAAACCUUACCAAGGCUUGACAUCCCCUGAAAAGUAUAGAAAUAUAUAAUAGGUAGCAAUAUCACAGGGAGACAGAUGGUGCAUGGUUGUCGUCAGCUCGUGUCGUGAGAUGUUGGGUUAAGUCCCUAAACGAGCGCAACCCCUACUCAAAGUUGCCAAUAUUUAGUUAGGAACUCUUUGAGGACUGCCGUAGAUAAUACGGAGGAAGGAGGGGACGAUGUCAAAUCAUCAUGCCUCUUACGCCUUGGGCUACAAACGUGCUACAAUGGCAACUACAAUGUGUCGCAAUAUGGUAACAUGGAGCUAAUCACAAAAAAGUUGUCUCAGUUCGGAUUGUGGGCUGAAACUCGCCCACAUGAAGUUGGAGUUGCUAGUAAUGCCGAAUCAGCAUGUCGGCGUGAAUGCGUUCCCGGGUCUUGUACACACCGCCCGU